rnacentral:rRNA from 1 species
CGGGUAACUACGUGCAAGCGGCUGGGGUGAGACGGAGGUGACAAGUGGGAUCCGGGAGUGAGGGGGUGAAGGGGGACGGAGGCGGUGCGUUAAGUCUGACGUGAAAGCGCUCGGCUUAACGGGGAGGGGUCGUUGGAGACUGGCGUGCUUGAGGCGAUGAGAGGGGUGUAGAAUUCCCGGUGGAGUGGUGGAAUGCGUAGAUAUCGGGAGGAAUACCAGUGGCGGAAGCGACACCCUGGCAUUAGCCUGACGCUCAGGUGCGAAGGCGUGGGGAGCGAACAGGAUUAGAUACCCAGUAGUC